UGCUUCUGGCUGUUUUGCAAAGCAGGAAGGUCUCUGGAGGAGACAAUACCUGAGGGCAGCGUGCUUUUUAAUUUGGGACUCUUGCUUGACCCUGUUUCAAACACUUUGCCUGUUGGGGCUAAUGGAGACUGCUACCUGGAGGGGGUCUUGGCAACUAAGGGAAGACACUGAGGAGUCCCUGAGAGGAAGGCAUAUGCUGACCUGAAGACUGGUGUAGACAGUCUCCUGCUGGUUCCCGGAUCUGGACACCCCAAAGAAGGAUGUGCCCGUGUGGAAGAGAAAGACAAAGCUUUCAAGUAAGGAACAAGAAUGAUAAAUCAUGAAUCAUGUUGGGAAGAGCAGCACCUAUCCAGACUUGUCCUUCCCAGAAAAGUUUAUAUCAGAUAGAAGAAAAGAGGACCAGAUACCGACCUGAUGUAAAUCAGCGUGGCCCAGCUGAAGAUCUGAACAAAUAGCCUGUAAGGUAUUCCUUUAUGCAGAGAGAUACCAAUUGGCUAAAGCCAAUAAAAUAGCAGGCAGAAGCAUGCAUGUAUUGAGAAUUAAAAAAAAAAACAACUCUUUUGCAUUUGAAAACUUAUAAGGCUCAUCAGAGUCAAGGUGUCUAUAAUAGAUCUCCUGUCUAUUUGAAUUUUCUAUUGAGCUUUACAAAUCUCCGACGAUAGUCACUUUCUUUAUUCUUUUUUUCUUUCUUGCUUGCUUUUUGGUGGCAGUGAAAUAGGGACCCUUAGCCUGAACCAAUUCAUCGGUUUCAAAAGAAAGGAUAAUGUAACUGCCAUUCGUGGCCUAAGCAUACAGGGUGCCGCUGAUUCUCGGAUAUUAAAGCUUAU